rnacentral:tRNA from 1 species
GUCCAUGUAGCUCAGCUGGAUAGAGCAUCCGCCUUCUAAGCGGACGGUCGGGAGUUCGAGUCUCUCUAUGGACGCCA